rnacentral:rRNA from 1 species
CCGCUGGAUUUAAGCAUAUAAUUAAGCGGAGGAAAAGAAACUAACAAGGAUUCCCUCAGUAAGGGCGACUGAAGCGGGAAGAGCCCCAACUGAAUUAUCUACGAAUUGUGGUGCGUUUGUGUACGUGUUGGUCCAAGUCCCUUGGAAAAGGGCAGCCGAGAGGGUGAGACUCCCGUAGUUUGACCAACAUUAGUGUACUGCAUUCGCUUUGGAGUCGAGUUGUUUGGGAUUGCAGCUCGAAGUGGGUGGUAAAUUCCAUCGAAGGCUAAAUAUUGGUGGGAGACCGAUAGCGUACAAGUACCGUGAGGGAAAGAUGCAAAGAACUUUGAAAAGAGAGUUAAAGAGUACCUGAAAUUGCUGAAAGGGAAGCGAAGGAAACCAGUGUCGCCUCUUGCAUAUUUCUUCCUCCGCUUGCGGAAGGAGCGCUGUGUUUUUGGCUGGUAAACUUUGGUUAACAGUAACGGAAGGUAUAUUAUUGCCACGUCGUUGUUGACUGAAUGUUAACGAAAUGGUUUUCUUUACCCCGUCUUGAAACCGAACCAAGAG